GGUACGUCUCGUUGGUGACCAGCGGAGGGUCAUUACUGAGUUGCAAAACUCCAACCCCUGUGAACUUACCUAUUACGUUGCUUCGGCGGCUUCGGCCGCCGGAGGUUACAAACUCUUGUUUUUACUGGUAUCUCUGAGAUUAUAAACAAAUAAUCAAAACUUUCAACAACGGAUCUCUUGGUUCUGGCAUCGAUGAAGAACGCAGCGAAAUGCGAUAAGUAAUGUGAAUUGCAGAAUUCAGUGAAUCAUCGAAUCUUUGAACGCACAUUGCGCCCGCCGGUAUUCCGGCGGGCAUGCCUGUUCGAGCGUCAUUUCACCACUCAAGCCCAGCUUGGUGUUGGGGCACCCGGAGCCGAGAGGCGCCCGGGGCCCCCAAGUACAUCGGCGGUCUCGCCUGGACCCUGAACGCAGUAACUCGCGGUAAAACGCGCUUCGUUUGGCGGACUCCUGGCGGGCACUUGCCGCUAAACUCCUUUCUAAGGUUGACCUCGGAUCAGGUAGGAAUACCCGCUGAACUUAAGCAUAUCAAAAGCCGGAGGAA
rnacentral:rRNA from 1 species